rnacentral:rRNA from 1 species
GUACACUCCACGGGAGGCAGCAGUGGGGAAUAUUGGACAAUGGGCGCAAGCCUGAUCCAGCCAUGCCGCGUGAGUGAUGAAGGCCCUAGGGUUGUAAAGCUCUUUCACCGGUGAAGAUAAUGACGGUAACCGGAGAAGAAGCCCCGGCUAACUUCGUGCCAGCAGCCGCGGUAAUACGAAGGGGGCUAGCGUUGUUCGGAUUUACUGGGCGUAAAGCGCACGUAGGCGGACUAUUAAGUCAGGGGUGAAAUCCCGGGGCUCAACCCCGGAACUGCCUUUGAUACUGGUAGUCUUGAGUUCGAGAGAGGUGAGUGGAAUUCCGAGUGUAGAGGUGAAAUUCGUAGAUAUUCGGAGGAACACCAGUGGCGAAGGCGGCUCACUGGCUCGAUACUGACGCUGAGGUGCGAAAGCGUGGGGAGCAAACAGGAUUAGAUACCCGGGUAGUCCCAUG